AUGCAAGUCGAACGGGAAAGGCCCUUCGGGGUACUCGAGUGGCGAACGGGUGAGUAACACGUGGGUGAUCUGCCCUGCACUCUGGGAUAAGCCUGGGAAACUGGGUCUAAUACCGGAUAGGACCACACACUUCAUGGUGAGUGGUGCAAAGCUUUUGCGGUGUGGGAUGAGCCCGCGGCCUAUCAGCUUGUUGGUGGGGUAAUGGCCCACCAAGGCGACGACGGGUAGCCGGCCUGAGAGGGUGACCGGCCACACUGGGACUGAGAUACGGCCCAGACUCCUACGGGAGGCAGCAGUGGGGAAUAUUGCACAAUGGGCGCAAGCCUGAUGCAGCGACGCCGCGUGAGGGAUGACGGCCUUCGGGUUGUAAACCUCUUUCAAUAGGGACGAAGCGAAAGUGACGGUACCUACAGAAGAAGGACCGGCCAACUACGUGCCAGCAGCCGCGGUAAUACGUAG
rnacentral:rRNA from 1 species